rnacentral:tRNA from 2 species
GGGCGGGUGGCGAAAUUGGUAGACGCAUCACACUCAAAAUGUGACGAUCGUGAGAUCAUAGGAGUUCGAUUCUCCUCCUGCCCA